GAUGAACGCUGGCGGCGUGCCUAAUACAUGCAAGUCGAGCGAACGGACGAGAAGCUUGCUUCUCUGUUGUUAGCGGCGGACGGGUGAGUCACACGUGGAUAACCUACCUAUCAGACUGGGAUAACUUCGGGAAACCGGCGCUAAUCCCGGAUAAUAUUUUGAACCGCAUGGUUCAAAAGUGAAAGACGGUCUUGCUGUAACUUCUAGCUGGAUCCGCGCUGCAUUAGCUAGUUGGUAAGGUAACGGCCUAUCACGGCAACGAUGCAUAGCCGACCUGAGAGGGGGAUCGGCCACACGGGAACUGAGACAGGGUCCAUGGGCCUACGGUAGGGAGCAGUAGGGAAUCUGCCGCAAUGGGCGAAAGCCUUACGGAGCGACGCCGCGUGAGUGGUGAAGGUGUUCGGAGCGGGAAGCUCUGUUAUGAGGUAAGAACAUAUGUGGAAGGAGCUGUGCACAGCGUGACGGUACCGGGUCAGAAAGCCACGGCUAACUACGUG
rnacentral:rRNA from 1 species